CGCAAGCCUGAUGCAGCCAUGCCGCGUGUAUGAAGAAGGCCUUCGGGUUGUAAAGUACUUUCAGCAGUGAGGAAGGUGGAUAUGUUAAUAGCAUAUUCAUUUGACGUUAGCUGCAGAAGAAGCACCGGCUAACUCCGUGCCAGCAGCCGCGGUAAUACGGAGGGUGCGAGCGUUAAUCGGAAUUACUGGGCGUAAAGCGCAUGCAGGUGGUUUGUUAAGUCAGAUGUGAAAGCCCGGGGCUCAACCUCCGGAAUUGCAUUUGAAACUGGCAAACUAGAGUACUGUAGAGGGGGUAGAAUUUCAGGUGUAGCGGUGAAAUGCGUAGAGAUCUGAAGGAAUACCGGUGGCGAAGGCGGCCCCCUGGACAGAUACUGACACUCAGAUGCGAAAGCGUGGGGAGCAAACAGGAUUAGAUCCCCUGGUAG
rnacentral:rRNA from 1 species